rnacentral:lncRNA from 1 species
ACGCGACGACGUUUUUGCAAUGUAUUUUUUGCCUAUUGAUUCGGCCAGUUUUUGGCCAGAGAGAGCGCGAAAUCCAUUUUCCCAACUAUUCCUGAAAGUAGGCCGUAUUUAGAAAAAUGAACCCCAAAACCUUUGAAAACUCAUAAAUACCUCUCCAUAAACUCGAAACAAGGGUAAGUUAAAUUUUGACCGAGGCCCCCCUUUGCUCGAUAUUUCUGUUCAUUUUCUCUUAAAUAUCCCGCACCUAUAUUAAAAUCAAAUGACAAACCAAUCAAAUGAUCGCAGUUAAUCAGGCAUUCAGUGCGUGGUUACAAAACGUUCGAAAAUUUAAAUUGCAAAUUAUACAUGUGCUGAAGCAUUUUGCUGCGUUGCGUUCUUCGGAUGUACAUCAUCCUUUCACUUUCAAGAAUUCGACUUUUUAAUUUGGCUUCGGUCACUUCUAGUAACAGGUAGUAAGCCUUCAUUUGAGAUGGUCCUUCCGUUUCCAGCUGCUACGAGACACAGUGAUACCUGGGAAAAGAACUAACUUCAAAUGAGCAAACCUUGCAACGACUUGCUUCGAGUGGGAAGUCUUUUGAGUCUUGCAAAGAACUGAUGAGAAAUGGUGAUAAAACGGACAAAAUUCUAUUAGGAUCCCUGACACGAUUACUUCAGCGUCUCCUGGUUACAGGAAGAUUCUGAUAGACUCUCAUUGGUGGAUUUUCAAGGCUUGUCUUGGAUUCUUGGAUUCGUCAGAUGCCUGCUGACAUGAAGAAGAUUCUGGAUCACGCUUGUGCAAGUAGUUUUCGUUUGGUAAAGAACAAUAGUUUAGUUACUAAUUUUGUUAGAAACCGUGACUGAUCGACAAUCAAUUUAUCCUCACAAAAUGCAAAACCAGUUUAUUGUCAAGCAGAAAAGUGACAAGAAAAUCUGCAUCUAAUUAUAUUGUCUUGAUGUAUCGCCAAAUUCUCACAACUGUUGCAACAAGAAACGUAUAGGAAUUAGGAAAGAGAAAUUAUACUUAGAAUUGAAUGAACGCGGAUCCAUGUUAUUGAAACCACAGACCAAAAAAAAAAUUAUUUGCUGACCAUAUACACUCAAUUUAUUAUUUUUGGAAAAUCAUCGUUUGCUUGUUUACCGCUGUGAGCUGAAAUUGUUUUGAAAUCUAGCCACGAUUCGCUGUUUGAUUUGUCAUAAUUCGACAUGCAAAUAUUUAAACUACACAAAUCUCUCAGAUCACUCAAAUUUUGAACUACGCAUCCUGUCAAUUUAUAACGUAGAUCGUUUCUUUGGCCAGCCAUGAAACUAAAUUUUAUCAGUUUUUGGAAAAAAAAUUGUUGAUGGCUUCUUCACCGUCCAGUCAACCACUAUUAUUUUAAAUUUCGACAGAUUUCGCUGACUGAUAGUCAAAAUCUUUCAUGUAGCAGAUCAAUGAAAUUUUACAUAAAACUAAGCUGUUGAACUGAAUAUUCCGCGUCGUUUCAGUUUGUUUUUGAUUUAAUUGUGACUUCAGGUGAACUCAGUAGGAACUGUCGCUUGAAUCUCGCCAAAUUUUGCUGUUCGAUUACAGUCAAGUUCAGCAUGCACUAACCGUACAGAAAAGAUUUUUUAGAGCAACUUUUGUAAAAAUAGUCGCCUUUUUCAAUUUAUAACGUAUUUUUUGGCUGAUCACAUAACUCAAUUUGUUUUGGAAGAAUUGUUUUCGCUUGCUUGGUUACCGUGAAGUCAGCUGUUUGAUUGCAGUCAGAUUUGACAUGUACUAAUAACCGGUGCAGAAAUUCUUUUCCGUCAGCAAAGUUUGAAAACUAAAAUCUAUAGUAUGAAUUGUAUAUAUUAUGUGUCGUGUCGUUCCAUAACAUGGAUCCACACUUAAUUUGUAUCCAAUGCUGUUAAAACUUUGAAGAAAUAUUUUAUGCAAAGAUGCUAUCGCGUAUGCCAGCGAAAGAUUUAUUUUUAAAACCGGAGCAAAUUUUUGCUUGAAGCUGAUGUAAAAAAAAAAAAAAAAGCCAGUAUUGAAUUUCAGUGUUUACCAGCAACUUAGUGAUACACUCGUUCGUAAAAAAAUAGGACAAUUUUCAUCACUUUUUAGUUUCGACUAUUGCAUUCCCUAAAAUGAGAAAUUUCGUUAAAUUUUUUUCAGAAUUCUCUCCACUGAUACUUAUAACAAUUUAAAACGUUUCAGACUUAGUAUUUGCUCGAUAAAGCAACUUCAUCAUAUUACUUUCGGUUAUUGACUCUUGUAAUUACUACAAAUAAAUUCCAGACUCAGAAAUGUAGUUUAUUGUUUCAACUUCUUUAAUAGUUUGAUUUGCAAUUACUGUUGUAAACAAGUUACCUUAAUAAAACUUGUAAAUUAAGUUAAUGGUACAAAACAAUAAAAAAAUAAAUGAAACCAUUGUUUCUUUUA